AUUAGAUGUACUUCAGUAAGAGGUGGAUCUAGGCUUUGGUUGUGGGGCCACCUAGCCCACGGCUUUUGCUAAAAUAGGUUUACCUCUCCUUACAACUACAAAGACUGCCUCCUGCGAACGUCGUCCCGCGCGCCCCCUCGCCCGCCUCCCGCGGACCUCGCCCUCGUCCGCCGUCGCCCGCCUCCUCCGGACCUCGCCCUUGCGCUCCCGCGGACCUCGCCCGCCUCCUACCUCGGCGCGGAUCAGGUCGCGCGGAUCCGCGCGACGCAGACCUCGCCCGCCUCCUCCUCCACGCAGAUCGCCCCGACAAUCAGGGUAGCAGCGCAACGAGGAUUUCACAUCGACCCUAUUCACCGCCGGCGUCCCCGCCGUUCCCAUCGACACCGCCCCCUGAUCCUAUCCCGUCCGGCAUCGACGGCCAUGGCGGCGGAGGAGGAAGCAAGUUUGCACAACCUCCCUUUGCCCUGUUCGCUCCCACUCCGCCUUCGCCUCCACCUCCCGCGCCUACAAUCUGCACGCGCCCUCCCACAAGUGCGCCCAAUCUAUGCACCCUGUCCCCCGAUGUCACACCCCUACCCUGCUCUACACCACCGUCGCCGCAGAUGGGACUGAGCUCUGCCACAGUCCCACACGGCCCAUCCUUCGUCAUCCCGGCCUCCAGCACCCCUCCCCCCAUCUGCUACACCCUGUCACAACACGGCCAAAAGUGGCUGUGGGUGGUGCGGCCAUGAUCCCAGGCCAGAUCUGGGCGUCGCGAUGGAGGAUGCCAGCUACGAAGGCGUCGCUGCCGCAAAAAACAGGAUCGUACGAGGGCUACAUCAUCGUCAAGGCGGCCUCCACGGAUGGGGAGGGAGACCUAGCCUUCUUCGUAGGAGAUCUUGGGGAUCUUGCCGCCCCUGCUGAGGACGACACUGUGCCGAUGGGUUCGAGGUGCCAAUGAUCUAUCACUGCUCCUAAUAGCAUAAAUACAUGUAAAACUGACACGGAAGGAUGAUAGCUUGAAAGAUCCAACCUCUUGGAAAUAUCAAAGUUCAGAUAUGAGAUGCAAAUAUAUUUUCUCAGCCUGAUUCGUGGGAGGUGAGCAAGGCUCCUGAUAGAUUAGUAAUGCUUCUUGUGGUUUUUGUAAUGCUUAAUUGUUGUGAUUAAAUAGCUAACCAAUUCAUGCUUUUUUUUUAUUAUAUGUGGUCAAGAGCAUAAAGGGGUUGGUAAACCAUGAUGACCAUGCAUAGGUGCUUUGAGGGACACUGAAAUAUCUUUUUCUUCAACUUAAAACUUUAUUUCUGAAGCAGCGGCAUGAAUUAAGCAAUAUAUCUGCUCUACCAUUUAUUCCUUCACUUGAUUACCUUAUAGGUGCCAACAUGCAGGCACUUCAAUCUCUUAUGGAAUGAAAGGUGGAAGCAAAGCCAUGUCGGCAAUGAAUAAGAAAUGGAACCAAUCAAAGAGAUAAAGAUCAUGAAAGAAUGUUGGAAGCACUCAGCUGGACAUGAUGAUGCAACUCGUUAGGCGUCUGAGCUACUGGCAUCUUCAACUCUGUCGGACACCUGGGCGGCUAGCGGCCAGCACCACUCCUGUGCAAUGUCUGGUCAGCCUCUGCAUUUCGCCUUCUCUACAAGACCGUUUCUCCGGUGAGUACUACGACACACAUGCUUGAAAUUUAGGAUUGGUUGAUUGUGAAAUGUUAAUGAGUAGUUGGUAGACAGUAGAGACCAGAGAAAAAGGUUUCCAUAUGCCUAAAACUGGUGAUUGACAUAUUGUGAAAUGUCAAUUUGCAAUCCAUCAUAUUUGCAUAAAAUUAAGGCUGAGCACUGAUUUCAUGGAACUUGAACUCCAACUUGGUGCUAUAUUGAUGAUACCAUAUUGCAUAUAGUAUUUAUGGAUUCAAAUUCUUGGUCCACACCGGGAGGAUGGGAUGACUAUAUUGGAUCCUUGGUCGUUUUGUUGUCAUCAUCAUGUUUCAAAAUCAACCCGCUGCUACUGCCUGCACAAUUUUAUUGAACUCCAUCAAUAUGUUUUGAAGGUUCAUGUGGAAUAUUGGCUGAUCAUCAGGUAUCUCAACUUUUUUUUUUGUGUACGACAUUCAAAUUCCCUUCAAAAUUUAGUUGAUACAUUAUAACAUCAUUCUUGAAUCUGGAGCUUCUUUCAGAUACAAGCAAGCAUGCCCAUUUUUACAUGAUCUACCAUGCAGGUUGCAUCAGCACCUUUUGUGACAAAUCAAUGGCUUAAUUCUUUAACCGCAUGCAAGAUCAUUCUAGAAGUUCGUGUGGCAGGGAGACUUAUAUGUACUCUGAGUGACGAUGGUGCUAUCAUGGCUUGGGAUUCUGGCAAAGGAGAGGAGUUUAUUAUUUUUCAUCUUUUUAUUUAUUUUUUAAAAAACUAUAUACUAUGUUCUAUAACUUGGAUAAGCAGCGUUCUCUGCAUUAUGUACUAGAAUCUGGAAGGGUAUGUAGAAAAUUUCCAAAGGUUUUGUGAGAUCCAUGUGUUUAAUUUCAUAGUAUUGUUUUCUUA